rnacentral:rRNA from 1 species
AACGAACGCUGGCGGCAUGCCUAACACAUGCAAGUCGAACGAGACCUUCGGGUCUAGUGGCGCACGGGUGCGUAACGCGUGGGAACCUGCCCUUAGGUUCGGGAUAACUCCCCGAAAGGGGUUCUAAUACCGGAUAGUGUCUUCGGACCAACGAUUUAUCGCCUUUGGAUGGGCCCGCGUUGGAUUAGCUAGUUGGUAUGGUAAAAGCCUACCAAGGCGACGAUCCAUAGCUGGUCUGAGAGGAUGAUCAGCCACACUGGGACUGAGACACGGCCAAGACUCCGACGAGAGGCAGCAGUAGGGAAUAGUGGACAAUGGGCGAAAGCCUGAUCCAGCAAUGCCGCGUGAGUGAUGAAGGCCUUAGGGUUGUAAAGCUCUUUUACCCGGGAUGAUAAUGACAGUACCGGGAGAAUAAGAUCAGGCUAACUCCGUG